rnacentral:rRNA from 1 species
UACGUAGGGUGCAAGCGUUGUCCGGAAUUAUUGGGCGUAAAGAGCUCGUAGGCGGCUUGUCGCGUCGAAUGUGAAAACUCGGGGCUCAACCCCGCGCUUGCAUUCGAUACGGGCAGGCUCGAGUUCGGUAGGGGAGACUGGAAUUCCUGGUGUAGCGGUGAAAUGCGCAGAUAUUAGAGGAACACCGGUGGCGAAGGCGGGUCUCUGGGCCGAUACUGACGCUGAGGAGCGAAAGCGUGGGGAGCGAACAGG